UACGGAGGGAGCUAGCGUUGUUCGGAAUUACUGGGCGUAAAGCGCACGUAGGCGGCUUUGCAAGUUAGAGGUGAAAGCCCUGGGCUCAACUCCGGAAUUGCCUUUAAAACUGCAUCGCUAGAGUUGUGGAGAGGUAAGUGGAAUUCCGAGUGUAGAGGUGAAAUUCGUAGAUAUUCGGAAGAACACCAGUGGCGAAGGCGACUUACUGGACACAUACUGACGCUGAGGUGCGAAAGCGUGGGGAGCAAACAGG
rnacentral:rRNA from 1 species